rnacentral:lncRNA from 9 species
GCCCCAUGUGCUCCAUCAGUGCUGGGGACUCAAAAGUCUUCAGUGAGGGGGUCAGAGUGAUUUCCGAAGGAACACACGUUGGGAUAAAGAGAAGAGGGUUAGGGCAAAAGUGACGAGAAACUUUAGCGUCCGAGGGGAACAAGGAACUUAUGUAAGAGCCUGAGAAGAGAUGAUCCAAGAAGUUUGAGCUUGGCUGGGGAGCCACAGAACAGAAGAGAGGGGUCAAAUUAAUCCGAGCUUGGCAGAUGAGAGAAUAAAUGAAGGAAUGGGCAUCCUGUGCUAGAUGCCAUGGCGAUGGCCAGAGCGGGUUUGGCGGCUCCCUCUAACUCUGGACGUCAUGGAGAGGCAUGAAGACAAAGCCUUUGCAGAACUGCGGAGUGUGUGGGGGGGGAAUUUGGGUUCAGAUUCCGUUUGGUUUGGAUUCUGGUCAAACUUGUGCAUCUGCCCUGAGUGACCGCAACACAGGAAGCCUCCAAACUCCCCCACGAGUGAGCCUGCCUUGGCACCAACUUCCCGGCCUGAGGUCCAGGAGAAAGACGGAGAAUUCCCAUGAGUCCCAAGGUGGAGGAACAGCCAGGAUCCCAGAGCCCAUGACGAGGAUAAACGAGAACACUCUCCAUCUUUCUCACCCUGCCCCACCACAGGUGGCAGCCCUCAGCCAUGACCCC